UCUCACGCUGGCAUUGGUUU
rnacentral:misc_RNA from 1 species